rnacentral:rRNA from 1 species
GAUGAACGCUGGCGGCGUGCCUAAUACAUGCAAGUCGAGCGAACAGACGAGGAGCUUGCUCCUCUGACGUUAGCGGCGGACGGGUGAGUAACACGUGGAUAACCUACCUAUAAGACUGGGAUAACUUCGGGAAACCGGAGCUAAUACCGGAUAAUAUAUUGAACCGCAUGGUUCAAUAGUGAAAGACGGUUUUGCUGUCACUUAUAGAUGGAUCCGCGCCGCAUUAGCUAGUUGGUAAGGUAACGGCUUACCAAGGCAACGAUGCGUAGCCGACCUGAGAGGGUGAUCGGCCACACUGGAACUGAGACACGGUCCAGACUCCUACGGGAGGCAGCAGUAGGGAAUCUUCCGCAAUGGGCGAAAGCCUGACGGAGCAACGCCGCGUGAAUGAUGAAGGUCUUCAGAUCGUAAAACUCUGUUAUUAGGGAAGAACAAAUGUGUAAGUAACUAUGCACGUCUUGACGGUACCUAAUCAGAAAGCCACGGCUAACUACGUG